AUUGAACGCUGGCGGCAGGUCUAACACAUGCAAGUCGAGCGGAGCGGCGGACAGGUGAGUAAUGCCUAGGAAUCUGCCUGGUAGUGGGGGAUAACGUCCGGAAACGGGCGCUAAUACCGCAUACUAUCAGAUGAGCCUAGGUCGGAUUAGCUAGUUGGUGGGGUAAAGGCCUAACAAGGCCACGAUCCGUAACUGGUCUGAGAGGAUGAUCAGUCAAACGGGAACUGAGACACGGGCCAGACUCCUACGGGAUGCAGCAGGGGGGAAUAUUGGACAAUGGGCGAAAGCCUGAGCCAGCCAUGCCGCGUGUGUGAAGAAGGUAUUCGGAUUGUAAAGCACGUUAAGUUGGGAAGCGUUACCAACAGAAUAAGAACCGGAUAACUUCGUGCCAGCAGCCGCGGUAAUUC
rnacentral:rRNA from 1 species